rnacentral:rRNA from 1 species
CCUACGGGUGGCUGCAGUAGGGAAUAUUGCUCACUGGGGGAAACCCUGAAGCAGCAACGCCGCGUGGAGGAUGAAGGUUUUAGGAUUGUACACUCCUUUUGUUAGAGAAGAUUAUGACGGUAUCUAACGAAUAAGCACCGGCUAACUCCGUGCCAGCAGCCGCGGUAAUACGGAGGGUGCCAGCGUUACUCGGAAUCACUGGGGGUAAAGAGUGCGUAGGCGGGGUAAGAAGUCAGAUGUGAAAUCCUGUAGCUUAACUACAGAACUGCAUUUGAAACUGUUACUCUGGAGUGUGGGAGAGGUAGGUGGAAGUCUUGGUGUAGGGGUAAAAUCCGUAGAGAUCAAGAGGAAUACUCAUUGCGAAGGCGGCCUGCUGGACUGAAACUGACGUUGAGGCUCGAAAGCGUGGGGAGCAAACAGGAUUAGAUACCCCUGUAGUC